rnacentral:rRNA from 1 species
CAUGCAAGUCGAACGGUAACAUUUCUAGCUUGCUAGAAGAUGACGAGUGGCGGACGGGUGAGUAAUGCUUGGGAACUUGCCUUUGCGAGGGGGAUAACAGUUGGAAACGACUGCUAAUACCGCAUAAUGUCUUCGGACCAAACGGGGCUUCGGCUCCGGCGCAAAGAGAGGCCCAAGUGAGAUUAGCUAGUUGGUAAGGUAACGGCUUACCAAGGCGACGAUCUCUAGCUGUUCUGAGAGGAAGAUCAGCCACACUGGGACUGAGACACGGCCCAGACUCCUACGGGAGGCAGCAGUGGGGAAUAUUGCACAAUGGGGGAAACCCUGAUGCAGCCAUGCCGCGUGUGUGAAGAAGGCCUUCGGGUUGUAAAGCACUUUCAGUUGUGAGGAAAAGUUAGUAGUUAAUACCUGCUAGCCGUGACGUUAACAACAGAAGAAGCACCGGCUAACUCCGUGCCAGCAGCCGCGGUAAUACGGAGGGUGCGAGCGUUAAUCGGAAUUACUGGGCGUAAAGCGCACGCAGGCGGUUUGUUAAGCUAGAUGUGAAAGCCCCGGGCUCAACCUGGGAUGGUCAUUUAGAACUGGCAGACUAGAGUCUUGGAGAGGGGAGUGGAAUUCCAGGUGUAGCGGUGAAAUGCGUAGAUAUCUGGAGGAACAUCAGUGGCGAAGGCGACUCCCUGGCCAAAGACUGACGCUCAUGUGCGAAAGUGUGGGUAGCGAACAGGAUUAGAUACCCUGGAAGUCCACACCGUAAACGCUGUCUACUAGCUGUGUGUGCCUUUAAGGCGUGCGUAGCGAAGCUAACGCGCUAAGUAGACCGCCUGGGGAGUACGGCCGCAAGGUUAAAACUCAAAUGAAUUGACGGGGCCCGCACAAGCGGUGGAGCAUUGUGUUUAUUCGACGCACGCGAAAACCUUACUACACUUGACAUGCAAGACUUUCUAAGAUAGAUGGUGCCUUCGGAACUCUGAACAGGUGCUGCAUGGCUGUCGUCAGCUCG